GAAUAAAUAUAGUCUUUACAAUUACGGCGGGAUAGAAUUGUGAAGGGUUUCUGGUUCAUAUUGUUCACAUAUUUAGUUUGUCCAAUGAGUGACAGUUGUCCUUUAGAGGAUUAUGCAAUUUUUGUAUUUGAUCUUCAACUUCAAAUUACAAUUCACUAUACUAAUAUAUUCCAAUAGACUAAGACUGAUUUGAGGUGUAUGAUACCUAUUUCGGUAGCUUGUGGAGCUCUUGAAAUCAU
rnacentral:misc_RNA from 1 species